CAUCAUCGCCAUUCAACUGAAUAAUCUUUCAGGCUGUUGGUGUGCUUGGAAGAUUUCUUCCGAGCUGACAAGAUAAAGAUCCAAAAAAAUCUUACCCCUCGGAAGGCAACUUUCGAGGGGUUUUGUU
rnacentral:sRNA from 1 species